rnacentral:rRNA from 1 species
AUUGAACGCUGGCGGCAUGCUUUACACAUGCAAGUCGAACGGCAGCGCGGGGCAACCUGGCGGCGAGUGGCGAACGGGUGAGUAAUAUAUCGGAACGUACCCAAGAGUGGGGGAUAACGUAGCGAAAGUUACGCUAAUACCGCAUACGAUCUAAGGAUGAAAGCAGGGGACCUUCGGCCGUUGUGCUCCUGGAGCGGCCGAUAUCUGAUUAGCUAGUUGGUGAGGUAAAGGACNCACCAAGGCGACGAUCAGUAGCUGGUCUGAGAGGACGACCAGCCACACUGGGACUGAGACACGGCCCA